UACGAAGGGGGCUAGCGUUGUUCGGAAUUACUGGGCGUAAAGCGCAUGUAGGCGGCGAUUCAAGUCGGGGGUGAAAUCCUGAGGCUCAACCUCAGAACUGCCUUCGAUACUGUAUUGCUAGAGUAUGGAAGAGGUUGGUGGAACUGCGAGUGUAGAGGUGAAAUUCGUAGAUAUUCGCAAGAACACCAGUGGCGAAGGCGGCCAACUGGCCCAUCACUGACGCUGAGAUGCGAAAGCGUGGGGAGCAAACAGG
rnacentral:rRNA from 1 species